rnacentral:rRNA from 1 species
UACGUAGGGUGCGAGCGUUGUCCGGAAUUAUUGGGCGUAAAGAGCUCGUAGGCGGCUUGUCGCGUCGACUGUGAAAUCCCGAGGCUCAACUUCGGGCUUGCAGUCGAUACGGGCAGGCUAGAGUUCGGGUAGGGGAGACUGGAAUUCCUGGUGUAGCGGUGAAAUGCGCAGAUAUCAGGAGGAACACCGAUGGCGAAGGCAGGUCUCUGGGCCGAUACUGACGUGAGGGAGCGAAAGCAUGGGGG